UACGGAGGGUGCAAGCGUUAUCCGGAUUUACUGGGUUUAAAGGGUGUGUAGGCGGACUAUUAAGUCAGUGGUGAAAUCCCGAGGCUCAACCUCGGAACUGCCUUUGAUACUAUUAGUCUUGAAUGUUGUUGAGGUGGGCGGAACGGGUCAUGUAGCGGUGAAAUGCAUAGAUAUCGGGAGGAACACCUGUGGCGAAAGCGGCGCACUGGACCAUAACUGACGCUGAUGCGCGAAAGCUAGGGGAGCAAACAGG
rnacentral:rRNA from 1 species